rnacentral:rRNA from 1 species
AACGAACGCUGGCGGCAGGCUUAACACAUGCAAGUCGAACGCCCCGCAAGGGGUGUGGCAGACGGGUGAGUAACGCGUGGGAACAUACCCUUUUCUACGGAAUAGCUCUGGGAAGCUAGAAUUAAUACCGUAUACGCCCUACGGGGGAAAGAUUUAUCGGGGAAGGAUUGGCCCGUGUUGGAUUAACUAGUUGGUGGGGUAAGGGCCUACCAAGGCGACGAUCCAUAGCUGGUCUGAGAGGAUGACCAGCCACAAUGGGACUGAGAAACGGCCCAAACUCCUACGGGAGGCAGCAGUGGGGAAUAUUGGACAAUGGGCGCAAGCCUGAUCCAGCCAUGCCGCGUGAGUGAUGAAGGCCUUAGGGUUGUAAAGCUCUUUCACCGAUGAAGAUAAUGACGGUAGUCGGAGAAGAAGCCCCGGCUAACUUCGUGCCAGCAGCCGCAGUAAAAC